GCAGAAUUAACCGUUGUGGUCCCGGAGGCUGAGAUGGGGACAACUGCAGCUGUUCCUGUGGUUGUGGUAAUUUUCCUUCUCAACUUGUUCAUGUUUUCGUGCUGUUCUGUCUGUUCUGCCUUUUCUAACAGUUGCAGUUUUCCAGGUGGAAGUGCCUAAGGCUACUGGUGCUCUGGCCGCUGUAUCCAGCCCCCUGAAGCCUCCUAUUGUCGCUGUAAGUUUUCAUAAUUUUUGAGCCUUUUAUCAUUUUUUUUAUUUUCUGCCUGGUCCUGACUCAUGCCCUCUUCUGUAGAUGCCAAUUCAUUCCUUUCCAGGAUCAUCUGCUACGGCUUCUUUUGCUGACCCAGAACUGGAAGAAUUUGAAGCGAUGGACCUGGAUGCUCAACUGGACAAGCUGGAAAAACUCAGUUCUCCUCCGAGCAAGGCAAAGCCUAAAGCAGUGCAGGAGGCCAUGGAGAGGUUAAAAAUCUGGCAGUCCACUGAGCUGGAUUUUGAUGAAGAUAAUGGGGCUCUAGAUCAGCUGAUGAAGGACCUGGACCUGCUGCAUAGACAGAACAUGGCUCCGAGGCCUAUUCUUGAGAUGGGCCUAAGCCUGGCCAGAGAUGUGCUUAAUCUGCAUGAUCGUUAUGAGGACCUCAAACCUACCUUCAAAACUUCUGAGUUCUGCAAAGCUACACACGAAGCCAAUCUGGCUGACUUUGCAAGGCAGAAGGCAGAACUGGACCAGAUGGUAGCUGGAUAUAAGGAGGCCAAGGCUACUGCGGAUAAGUUGGAGAAGCAGAUUGAAGAGCUUCAAAAACAACUGGCAGAGUGCAGGGAGGUGCAGAACAGGCUUGGGACCGGACUGAGCUCCAAGACCAAGGCCACUUUUCUGGUGCAGAGCAUGGUUGCAGCCUCCAGGCCAGCUUUGGAGAUUGCAGAAGCCUCGAUCCACCAAGGGGUGUUGCUCCAGAAGGAACUAUCUGUCAAAAAAGCGAAUCUGCAGGAAACCCUUAGAAAACUAGGAUUUUAGUUUUUAUUUCUGUUUCUUUAUUUACCUGGACAAAUUUGCCGCUAUGGUGGCUAUUUAAAUAAAGUUUGCUCUGCUUUUCCUUCAAACAGCAUUUUACUAUUUUUAUUUUACCCUUG
rnacentral:lncRNA from 1 species